UACGAAGGGGGCAAGCGUUGUUCGGAAUUACUGGGCGUAAAGCGUGCGCAGGCGGUUUUGCAAGACAGAUGUGAAAUCCCCGGGCCUAACCUGGGAACUGCAUUUGUGACUGCAAGGCUAGAGUGUGUCAGAGGGAGGUGGAAUUCCGCGUGUAGCAGUGAAAUGCGUAGAGAUGCGGAGGAACACCGAUGGCGAAGGCGGGUCUCUGGGCCGUAACUGACGCUGAGGAGCGAAAGCGUGGGGAGCGAACAGG
rnacentral:rRNA from 1 species